CUCCUCCCACGUAAAGUAUGUAAAGUAUUUAAGGACCGCACCGCUCACGCUCACUACCUCAUCCCCUAAGCGACUAUCUGAUAGAAUGUCUGUCCACUCUGCAAGUCUGGAGGACCCCAAUACUGAGGGAAAGGGAGCUCCCCCCCCCCACUCCCUUUAUAGUUUGACAACUCUGGCUGGACACAAUUUAGUGGGACUUAGUGGUUUCACAAAAGUAUAAAUUGAGAGGUUGAACCACAUCUACUAUGGCAAAUCAACCAGCAACACCUGGUCUGCGCACCCACAGCACCCAGACUGGAACUUAC